UUUUUUUUUUUUUUUUUUUUUUUAUGUUCAAAUAAAACGAAGAGAAAACGACAUAAUUAGAAUGUGUGUGAGCAUCGUGGCUAUAACAAGCCAUGUGCAGUCCUCUUUCAAAUGAGCAGGAUCCGUUCUCCAUUUGAAAGUAUAAAAAUCUUUCUAUACUUGUUUUUUCCCUAAUUUUCAGCAUUUCUACCAUUGAGUGUCACUUUAAGGCAUAUUAGUGUCUAAAAAGAAAUUGCCCCCCAGUUAUAUUCUUUGUUCAAACUUUCACGCACUCACUGAAAUUCAACUGCUCCCUUGGCCUCUUUCAUCCUCACUGAAGCAAAACUUGAUAUGUCCAGACUUGUGAAAAAUGAAAAAGAAAUGAAUGAAAUUGAAUUAGGUAAAUUUCUAAUUUGAUAUUUCCAAACAGGGAUAGAGGUAUGAAGUUUCUAAUCUUUUGACGACAAGCGUAACCAAUGAUGAAAAAGGUUCAAUCGGAUACCGAUCUUUGUGAGGCAGGCAAAAGCCUCAAAAAACCAAUAAAAUAAUUCAAAAGAAUAAAAAAUACUCAUGCUCAUAAUGAACCAUAAACCAUCUUUAGAAUUCAAAAUAAAUCAAGUUAACAAAAGUAAAAGUCAAACUUGCAAGCAAACAUAAAUAGAUCUAUAUAGUAGCAAAAGGUAAUCACAAAACAACAUAAUAAAUCAUAAUCUCCUACUAGAAAUGGAAAUCUCUGAUGCUCGGACUCUUUGAAAUGGACGAAGUACCCUUGUUGACAUGACACGGCAUGGAUAUAGGUAUGGAAUAUGUAUCGAAUCCUCCAAAUUUCAACCGGACACUUCAUCGUUUCUGCUUCAUUCUUUUUCUUCCUUCUAUUUUUUUCUUUCCCCUUUUUGUUUCCACUAGCACCUCUCUUUUGGCGAUUUGCCGAGGCCGAAAUUGAUUUUGAAAUCAAUUUGAUUUUGAGGUUUUACAAUUUUUAUGGCGUAAGUGAUGGUGGGAUCCCAAAUGCUAUCGACUUUCCUCUUUUAUAGGCACAGAAGAAGCCAUAUACAUAAUUCCACUCCUCCUUAGUUGUCCAUCCGCU
rnacentral:lncRNA from 1 species